GGAAUAAUACGCCGAAAGGAGUACUAAUACCGGAUACUCUUGCUUUUCAUAAGUAUAGCAAGCAAAGUGGCCUCUGUAUAUGCUACUGCAGGGAGAGGGGUCUGCGUACCAUUAGCUAGUAGGUGGGGUAAGGGCCUACCUAGGCUACGAUGGUUAGCGGGUCUGAGAGGAUGAUCCGCCACACUGGCACUGGAACACGGGCCAGACUCCUACGGGAGGCAGCAGUGAGGAAUAUUGCGCAAUGGGGGCAACCCUGACGCAGCGACGCCGCGUGAAGUGAGGAAGGCCUUCGGGUCGUAAAGCUCUGUCAAGAGGAAAGAAGUGCAUAGCGGUUAAUACCCGUUAUGUUUGACGGUACCUCUAAAGGAAGCACCGGCUAACUCCGUGCCAGCCGCCGC
rnacentral:rRNA from 1 species